GACUCUACUGAACGCGAGGUUGCUCUCAUGAUACUCAGAAUGUGAAGGACGUUCUUUCGUUCAUAAACUCGAAUGCAUUGUUUAUAAAUAACCAAGCUGAAUGAUUUUAUGAAAGAGAUCCAUGCUGCUGGCCAGAAUGGGGAAAUUUCAGGUGAAUUUUGCAGGUUUAAUGUAGGGAUUCAAGACUGGUACAUCGAUGCAAUGUCAAAUACUAUGUUUGCCGGGUUUGUGAAGUUGUUCUGAAGUCAGAGUCCCUAUAUGGGAUGCACACCAGGUUUCUUGUAAGCAUCGUGAGUCACCCCAAACCAGCUUAGAUUAACAGAAUUAUUAUUUUGGUCAGGCAAUAAGUAUCGUUUUGGAGGGAGAUCUAGUCAUUGACAAUGGUUUCUUUUGUAUUAUUUGAUUGAUGUCCGCUAAAGAAAAGACUUGGACCAGAUUCCUCAAACAAGAUGGCUGCACAAAUGA